rnacentral:rRNA from 1 species
CUACGGGGCGCUGCAGUGGGGAAUAUUGGACAAUGGGCGCAAGCCUGAUCCAGCAAUGCCGCGUGAGUGAUGAAGGCCUUAGGGUUGUAAAGCUCUUUUACCCGGGAAGAUAAUGACUGUACCGGGAGAAUAAGCCCCGGCUAACUCCGUGCCAGCAGCCGCGGUAAUACGGAGGGGGCUAGCGUUGUUCGGAAUUACUGGGCGUAAAGCGCACGUAGGCGGCUUUGUAAGUUAGAGGUGAAAGCCCGGGGCUCAACCCCGGAACUGCCUUUAAGACUGCAUCGCUUGAACGUCGGAGAGGUGAGUGGAAUUCCGGGUGUAGAGGUGAAAUUCGUAGAUAUUCGGAAGAACACCAGUGGCGAAGGCGGCUCACUGGACGACUGUUGACGCUGAGGUGCGAAAGCGUGGGGAGCAAACAGGAUUAGAUACUCCCGUAGUC